AGGGAAUCUUGCGCAAUGGGCGAAAGCCUGACGCAGCAACGCCGCGUGCGGGAUGACGGCCUUCGGGUUGUAAACCGCUUUCAGCAGGGACGAAAAUGACGGUACCUGCAGAAGAAGCCCCGGCCAACUACGUGCCAGCAGCCGCGGUAACACGUAGGGGGCGAGCGUUGUCCGGAUUUAUUGGGCGUAAAGAGCUCGUAGGCGGUUUCGUAAGUCGGGUGUGAAAGCUUCAGGCUCAACCUGGAGAAGCCACUCGGUACUGCGAUGACUAGAGUCCGGUAGGGGAGCGUGGAAUUCCUGGUGUAGCGGUGAAAUGCGCAGAUAUCAGGAGGAACACCAACGGCGAAGGCAGCGCUCUGGGCCGGAACUGACGCUGAGGAGCGAAAGCGUGGGUAGCGAAC
rnacentral:rRNA from 1 species